GACGAACGCUGGCGGCGUGCCUAAUACAUGCAAGUAGAACGCUGAAGGAGGAGCUUGCUUCUCUGGAUGAGUUGCGAACGGGUGAGUAACGCGUAGGUAACCUGCCUGGUAGCGGGGGAUAACUAUUGGAAACGAUAGCUAAUACCGCAUAAGAGUAGAUGUUGCAUGACAUUUGCUUAAAAGGUGCAAUUGCAUCACUACCAGAUGGACCUGCGUUGUAUUAGCUAGUUGGUGGGGUAACGGCUCACCAAGGCGACGAUACAUAGCCGACCUGAGAGGGUGAUCGGCCACACUGGGACUGAGACACGGCCCAGACUCCUACGGGAGGCAGCAGUAGGGAAUCUUCGGCAAUGGACGGAAGGCUGACCGAGCAACGCCGCGUGAGUGAAGAAGGUUUUCGGAUCGUAAAGCUCUGUUGUAAGAGAAGAACGAGUGUGAGAGUGGAAAGUUCACACUGUGACGGUAGCUUACCAGAAAGGGACGGCUAACUACGUG
rnacentral:rRNA from 1 species